rnacentral:lncRNA from 1 species
UUAUAAAUACAUAAGUUAUCUUAUAAAUACAUAAGUUAUAUUAUAAGUUAAAAUAUAUCUAUAUAUAUGACCAGAUAACUGGUUAAUGAUUUAAUUAACCGCAGACAAUGAUUAUAUAACUUAAUGAGACAUCUGCAAGAAAGUAGUUAACCUCAAUCUAUGAUCAGAUAACUGAAUGAGGGACCUUUCUUUUAAUCUUAUUAAGUUAUUUAUCCUAAACACCGAAAGUAAAAGAACACAAAAGAUUUAUAUUGGUUCACCUAAGCAAGGGCUAAUCCAGUUUCGAUAACAUACGAAGAUCACUAGCUUGAAGAUUAUGACAAUACCUCUUGUAAUAUUUAUGAUUACAACGUUUACGAACCAAGUCUGUUACGAGUAGACUUAAACCUUAGAGUAUUUAAAAACAUUCUUAAAAACCUCUGUAAUUUUUAAGGUUACUUCGCUAACGAACCAAGUCUUUUACGUGGACUCACACCUUGAAUUAUUCAAGGAUACUCUUAAAAACCUUUGUAAGUUUUAAAGUUACUUCACUUACUAACCAAAUCUUUUAUGGGUAGACUUACACCUUAGAGUUUAAAGACACUCAUAAAAAUCUUUGAAUCUUUAAAGUAGAUCCAACCUAAAACUACGUUUUUCCGAAAACUUUAUAAAAUCUUGGAGUAUUUUGCGGGUAGACUCACACAUUGGAGUAUUUAAAAGCACUCUUAAAAAUCUUUAUAAGCUUUAAGGCUACUUCGCUUAUGAACCAAGUCUUUUACGUACAGGUAAACUUACACCUUAGAGUAUUAAAGACACUUUUAAAAACCUUUGAAUCUUUAAGGUAGAUUCAACCUAAGAGUUUUUUCGAAAACUCUAUAAAACCAAACUGAGUUUUACGGUUCAACUCGUGUAACCUCAUAAGUUUUGAUAUCUUGAGACCAACACUUGGAAUACUUACAAUGUGUGUCUUGAUCUUUUAACACACUCUUAACAUGUAAGAGGAAGAAGAAGUGAAAAACUUGAACACUAACCUUUCAUUAGAAGAAGAGCAAGAGAACUUGGAGAACAAAAGCUCUGACAACAAGAGAGCUUACACAUAGAUUGGUAAGUGAUGCUUUGAGAGUUUGGUGUGCCCUUC